ACGAACGCUGGCGGCGUGCUUCACCCAUGCCAGUCGCACGGAAAGGCCCUGCUUUUGUGGGGUGCUCGAGUGGCGAACGGGUGAGUAACACGUGAGUAACCUGCCCUUGACUUUGGGAUAACUUCAGGAAACUGGGGCUAAUACCGGAUAGGAGCUCCUGCUGCAUGGUGGGGGUUGGAAAGUUUCGGCGGUUGGGGAUGGACUCGCGGCUUAUCAGCUUGUUGGUGGGGUAGUGGCUUACCAAGGCUUUGACGGGUAGCCGGCCUGAGAGGGUGACCGGCCACAUUGGGACUGAGAUACGGCCCAGACUCCUACGGGAGGCAGCAGUGGGGAAUAUUGCACAAUGGGCGGAAGCCUGAUGCAGCAACGCCGCGUGCGGGAUGACGGCCUUCGGGUUGUAAACCGCUUUCGCCUGUGGCGAAGCGUGAGUGACGGUAAUGGGUAAAGAAGCACCGGCUAACUACGUG
rnacentral:rRNA from 1 species